rnacentral:lncRNA from 1 species
GUGAACCUCACCUACGGAAACGUAGUGUUAGACGAGGGAUAUACUCAAAAGUGAACCCCACCUAUGGAAGAACGUAGGUUAGACGGGGAACACAGCGGCAGGAGUGAACCCCACCUACGGAAGAACGUAGGUUAGACGGGGAACACAGCGGCACAAAAGUAAACCCCACCUACGGAGGAACGUAGGUUAGACGGGGAACACGUCGGCUAAACACACACCCCAUUCUACAAAAAUGUAGACAGAGGGGCAAGCAUCCAAGAGUAAACCUCACCUACGGAAGAACGUAGGUUAGACGAGGGACGUACUCAAG